UGAGUGGGCAAAAUGGGACA
rnacentral:miRNA from 1 species